rnacentral:rRNA from 1 species
AGCGAACGCUGGCGGCAGGCCUAACACAUGCAAGUCGAGCGCCCCGCAAGGGGAGCGGCAGACGGGAGAGUAACACGUGGGAACGUACCCUUCAGUUCGGAACAACCCAGGGAAACUUGGGCUAAUACCGAAUACGUCCGUAAGGAGAAAGAUUUAUCGCUGAAGGAUCGGCCCGCGUCUGAUUAGCUAGUUGGUGAGGUAACGGCUCACCAAAGCGACGAUCAGUAGCUGGUCUGAGAGGAUGAUCAGCCUCACUGGGACUGAGACACGGCCCAGACUCCUACGGGAGGCAGAAGUGGGGAAUAUUGGACAAUGGGCGCAAGCCUGAUCCAGCCAUGCCGCGUGGGUGAUGAAGGCCCUAGGGUUGUAAAGCCCUUUCGGCGGGGAAGAUAAUGACGGUACCCGCAGAAGAAGCCCCGGCUAACUUCGUGCCAGCAGCCGCCGUAAAAC